rnacentral:rRNA from 1 species
GGUACCUUGUUCUUUAAAUCAAUCUUUUUGGUUCAUUAUUUUUUUUUCAAUUAUGAUUGGUAAUAAAUAGAGAUGUUUUUUAAUCCCUUGUCACCCCAACAAAACAUAUUUUAUAAGAUAGUAUAGAUAUAUGUAAAGGUCUAUAGGGUCUUGUCGUCUUUUUAGUGUAUUAAAGCCUUUUGACUUUAAGGUUAAUUUCGAUUUAAAUAAUUAUGAGACAGCUUAAGCUUCGUGGUAUCUUUCAUACCAGCCAAUAAUUAAAUGGCUAUUUAUUAUGCUACCUUUGCACGGUUAGGAUACCGCGGCCAUUUAAAAAUUUCAUUGGGCAGAUUGUAUCUUUUACAUAUUUUCAAUAGACG